CUUCAAGGCAGCCAGGGCCCAUCACUGCUAGCUCACAACUGCUUUAAAUUUCCUCUGGGUAGAAGUACGGAUCACCGAAGGAAAAGAGGGUCCCAGAGCCCAUGAGCGACUCAGAUAAAGGUAAAGGCCAGAACAAAGGUGCAACCCAAGUCGCCAGAGCUCAUCAAAGAUGUGCAUGCUGUUGCCGCUAUGUGAAAGAUUUCCAUGACCUGAGCAUGGACUGAGGGACUGAGCUAGAGGAAGCUGGAUCAAAGAACCAUGGCUCAGCAUUCCCAAAGGGCUCUGCUAUUUCAGCCAGGUGGAGAGCAUCAGACCUCAUGCCAGAUUGCUUAUAAUCCAGUUUGGAUAGGGGAUAUAGACAAGAAGCCAGGAAUAGCACAAAUGAAACAAUGUAGAAGAAUGUAUCAUUCAUUCAUCCAACCAUGUUUUACAGCACCUACUAAAGAGAUGGGUGCUGUUGACAACACAGAGAGAAGAGAGAACCUAAACAAUGAAGCAAGCCCUGUGCCCAAAUGCUGUCAGACAUUUGGGAGAAGAACAAAACCAAAGCAAAGCCACUGAACAAACACAAUGGCCUAGUCGGCUACCUUUCUUGAGUCACAGAGCAGGACAGGACAGCGCUGUUCUCCCUGUCACCCCUGCCUCCCCCUCCCUAGCAUGCCUACUCCUUGGCUGCCUGCUCUCCUUUCUCCCUUCUUCCCGAGGCACAGUGUGGACUCGCAGUUUGACUAGCAAUACUAGUUGGUGGAGUUUUAAUCCACCAACUAGUACUGCAGCCUCAUAGAGCGGCUUUGAAUUUAUGAAACAGUUUGAGGGGGAAAUAAGCCACCCUUUUCCUUGGAUAAUGUAAGCUAAGAGUGGUGUUUCCAGGGAGAGACUAGGGACGAUGGUCGGGGACCCGAGGAAAGUGAGGGCACCUCCCGCUCUCAGAGUCUCCUUUGAAUUAACUUUACUCAGAGGUCUUGAAAGCUCCUCAGACCACUUCCUGUGAGCCCUUGGCAGUAACUUGGGAAGGUUUUACGAAGACCAGUGUUCGAGAACCUUGGUCACAACAAAGCUCUCUUGAGGAUGGAGAAUGAACAGUGGCACAUAGCUGGUUGCACACACAGAUGUGUAGGAGUGUGUGAGUGUGUGUGUGUACACAAGGACGCAAUGGCGACAACUGGCAUGAGACUUUGAACUCAACGUUGAUUUAAAAAAUACUUAUUGAAUGAAUGAAUGAAUAAAUGAAUGCUGUGGCCUGUAGUUACCAA